GACGAACGCUGGCGGCGUGCUUAACACAUGCAAGUCGAACGGAAAGGCCCUGCUUUUGUGAGGUGCUCGAGUGGCGAACGGGUGAGUAACACGUGAGUAACCUGCCCUUGACUUUGGGAUAACUUCAGGAAACUGGGGCUAAUACCGGAUAGGAGCUCCUGCUGCAUGGUGGGGGUUGGAAAGUUUCGGCGGUUGGGGAUGGACUCGCGGCUUAUCAGCUUGUUGGUGGGGUAGUGGCUUACCAAGGCUUUGACGGGUAGCCGGCCUGAGAGGGUGACCGGCCACAUUGGGACUGAGAUACGGCCCAGACUCCUACGGGAGGCAGCAGUGGGGAAUAUUGCACAAUGAGCGGAAGCCUGAUGCAGCAACGCCGCGUGCGGGAUGACGGCCUUCGGGUUGUAAACCGCUUUCGCCUGUGACGAAGCGUGAGUGACGGUAAUGGGUAAAGAAGCACCGGCUAACUACGUG
rnacentral:rRNA from 1 species